GGGGCUAUUUUUUAAAAGUAAUAAGUUUAUAAAUAUUUUUUUAAAAAAUAUUUAGUACUUUUAAUAUUAAAGUAGAGUUUUUAAUAUAAAAGAAAAGAAAGCUCUUUAGAUAUAUAAAUAAGGUAAUAAUUUGGCUUACUUAAAAAUAGGUAAAUAAAUAGUGUUCCCGACGUUUCAAUUUUUCACAUCUUAUUCCUUCAUUAGAUAAUGUGUAAAAAAUUUAUUCUUCGUGUCUUAAUUUGUUCAAGUCAAUCUUUCUUUUACCCAAUUUCUUCAUAUUUCAGAAACUCCUAUAUACUUUUUGUCUGCUCUUUAAUAUUCUUAUUCACUUUAUUUCUCCAAAAUUUCAUUACUCACCUUCUUUCUUUAAGAUUUCAUUAGUUCAAGUGCUCAACAAUACUUUUAAACUUUCAAUAGUUUUAUAUUUCUAUUGUUCUAUAAAAUUUUAUCUAAUAUCAACUAUAUCUUAAAAAAAGAUUAAAUGAGUUGGCUAUAUUAUCAAUUAAAAGGAAUUAUUAGAAAAACUCGAUUAUAAAAAAGAUUAUUAACAACUUGAUAUCUCAAAAAGUUAGAAAGAUAAACUUCAAAUAAAAACAUAACAUAUCUUACAGUAACUUUAAAAAAAAAAAUUUAGGCCGCAUAUACUUAGCCGAUAACCCUAUAUUUAAACUCUCCGCCGAGCUCUAUUCCGCCUGCAUUUCCUGGUGUUAUCAAGAGGAAAGUAAAAUCUCUCUACUUGCUACCAACAUUCGUCGAAAAACUUAGGAAUUGUUUGCCUCUCAUAUAGCUUCCACUGAUUGAUCAAAUCAUUCUACAAAAUGCAUAUAUACUUACACAAGCUUCUCUUUUUACUUGCUUCUGGGAAACAGGUUCUGUCAUCUUGGCAAGAAUUGCUUUAAAAUUGGAAACCUAUACAUGUUGCAAAUUUUCAAUACCCAUGUUUCUGUCAUUUGCUUCCUGAAAGCUGAAAGAACCUGUUAAAAAACCAAGUAAUAGUGUGAGCACAAAUAUGUGAAUUAACUACCAACUAUAUAGUCUAUAAACAAGACAAAUAAAGUAUCUACUUUUACAUUCCACCGUAUUAUCCACACAGGCCCCUAAUUAAUUAACUUGAUUUAUAGUAGCAUCUUUUGAGGCUUAAUAUGCAGGAGUAUGAUGCUGGCUAAACAAUCAAAGCCCCCCUCCAAUCUCUUGAGAUAGCUAAGUAGGGAUGCUCCAUUAUCCAGCAUCAUCUCUCCUGCGUAGCAAGCCUUCUCAUGCUUCUCAUUUCCUAUUUUCUUAUUCUAUUCGAAAUUUGUGACUAACUCUAUUCUAUAUCUCUCUCCUUAUAAACAAGAAAAAUAGGGAUGUACUUGUCAAUGUCGAACUAGCUACUUGUUCC
rnacentral:lncRNA from 1 species